GACGUAGGGCGCGAGCGUUGUCCGGAUUUAUUGGGCGUAAAGAGCUCGUAGGCGGCUUGUCGCGUCGGCUGUGAAAACCUGCAGCUUAACUGUGGGCUUGCGGUCGAUACGGGCAUCACUGGAGUUCGGCAGGGGGGACUGGAAUUCCUGGUGUAGCGGUGAAAUGCGCAGAUAUCAGGAGGAACACCGGUGGCGAAGGCGGGUCUCUGGGCCGAUACUGACGCUGAGGAGCGAAAGCGUGGGGAGCGAACAGG
rnacentral:rRNA from 1 species